GGGGCCGUCCAGGAAUUGACGGUGGGUAGGGUUUCUGCUGGCAUGCAGGUCUUGGGUGAUAGACCUUAAAAAGACACUCAUAUAAAAAUAAGAGGCGAAUAUAAUUACGCUGUAGCUGCUUGAUCUAGGAUCAAGCAUGUUACUGUCCUGGAAGGCUAGAAUAUCCUGUGCUUCCUUCUGAUGGGCAUCGCAAAGACGGGAUAGGCUGAGCGAGCGGCAUCUUGUUGGGUCUUAUUUUUUCUGCCAAGAGGGAAAAUGUUUUGGAAUGUACUUCUUCCUAUUUUCCUUUAAUAUUUGGAGUACUAAGCAUGUAGAAAGCAUUUGCGUUGCCUGUCCGGACGAGGGUUCGAUUCCCUCCGGCUCCACAA
rnacentral:tmRNA from 1 species